rnacentral:rRNA from 1 species
CCCUUAGAUGUUCUGGGCUGCACGCGCGCUACACUGAUGCGUUCAGCGAGUUUUGGUCCUUGCCCGGAAGGGCUGGGUAAUCUUCUCAAAACGCAUCGUGAUGGGGAUAGACUAUUGCAAUUAUUAGUCUUCAACGAGGAAUUCCUAGUAAGUGCGAGUCAUCAGCUCGCGCUGAUUACGUCCCUGCCCUUUGUACACACCGCCCGUCGCUACUACCGAUUGAAUGAUUUAGUGAGGACUUCGGACUGGGACCGAUGCGGCUUUCGGGCUGCGUCGGUAUUCUGGAAAGAUGUCCAAACUGUAUCAUUUAGAGGAAGUAAAAGUCGUAACA